CCUCCCAUCCUCUUUUUUGCUUGCUGAAAUAUGGUAACCCUAGAAUCAUGCUUGCUGGAAGUUCACCCCAAUAAACAUCGAAUUGUUUGCGCCUUUGGACUUUGGGUAUUGUUGCUCUCUGUUCAUGUGAGAAGGACCAGGGAAGUGAGAGGGUGAAGGAAUAAGCCCCCUAACAUCUUGGUGCCGGUGACUCGGAUGCAUCGCAUCGGAUAGGUGAGUGGCAGCCUGUAAGUCCCCCUCCCCAACAGUCCGCACAGCUGCUUGGAGGGGGGUAUAGCGAACUCUCGCGAUGGUAGUUGCGGGUUCUGGCAAGCCAGGGUAAAGGAUUUUUAGGAUAAAUGGAUAAGGAAGAACCAGGGCCCAUACCAGGUGCAGGGGUCGGCCUGGGAUGAGAUUAAAAAGGAAAUGGAGGAAGGUUGGAGGACCCAGAGGGAUGGGGGGUGGCUGAGGAGCCCCCCCUCCUUUGGUAUAUGGGUAGUGGAAGAAGGUCCCUGCCCAUGGGGACUGGACGCCUUCCAGGGAAAGGAGGCACUUCAGCCCACUUGUGAGAGGUUUGAAGUAAGGGCAGCAUUAUGGGAAGCUGCCAGUAAUCUUUCAAGUUUCAGCAAGGGCUGCUGAAGGGGUGUAGAGUUAGGGGAGGUUAAAUAUAAUUUGGCACAACAGCGUUUAAAAUCAGAAGCAGAGUUAACAGACCAGCUUUAGAGACAGGAGCUGGGACUUUGUCCUGGGGAAGGGGAGUGGAAAAUGGCCGGGUUUGCAGGAGCAGUACGACGGAGGUCUGCUGGAUUCCACUGGAAUUUUUGGAGUAACAGAUCCAGGGGCAGCCAUGGAGAAAUGUUUUACUGCCCUUUGAACAGUCUCAAGGUAAAGACAGCGCAGGUUAAGGCGGCUGUGUGGUAAUAAUUGUACUCGGCGGCUGAGUUGCUAAAGACAAACCGCACGACCUUCAAAAACAAACGGUAGGAGUAAGAGAUUUAAAGAAGUGAAAAGUUACAAAUACCUUUUGCAAAAAGUGAUAAUACAGGGUUUGGAGGAAAGUAAACCUUUGGGAGUUGUGAAAAUGGUACAGGUAACAGUUGUGGUGUUACAAGAAACAAGUUUUUGGUUUAAUAAUAAAACUCAGUUGCAUUUCUGUGCAGUCACAUUGGAUGGAAGCUUGAUAAUUGAAUUAUACCAGGGGGUCAGGAAGAGUGGCCACUACCACCACGAUGCUUCUGUCCCCAGAAGCCUUUACAGCUAUUCUGAGGGAAAAUGGGCCCUUUUCCCACAGAAAUGGUCUAUAGGGGACUGCUGCAGGCAGCAGGCGGAGGAAUAAUCUAAUCAAAAUGAUUUAACUAUUGGGUAAUGUAAUCAAAAUCACUAAAGGGAUGUCAGGGGGUUCUAUUGGAACUUAACUUGACUGCCCCUGGCUGUCUCUGGUUGUACAAGAUGGAAGUGUAAUCAGGGUACAGUUGUGUAAAAAAAAAAAAAAAAAAAAAAAAAAAAGGUAAUCACAGUGCAAGGGAUGUUAGGCAAAAGAUAGUUUUGUGUGUGCACAGGAAAAAGAAAAGGAAAAGGGGAGCAAUGAUGGGAACACUGAGCCUUGGGGUGGCUCUGGGGGAUUGGACUGUCGCUUUGGGGGUGCAUGAAAACUCUGUGGGCACAGGGGAGGCAGUUACACCUUGUGUAAACUUAAUAUGGCUAAUAUAAUCUUAUGGAGGUUAAACUAUUUCCCAGGACAUGUGCAGUGUAUAUUGGAAAAGGGGUAAAAAACAAUGCAAACAAAACAUGGUACUUAAUUAAAAUCCUAUUAGGGCUCCAAAAGGAGCCAUAGAAGAUUGUGCUUUCUUUUUCAGAACCCUGUGCGUUUUGGAGCAGGAGAUGAAAGUGACAAGUAAUGAGAACUCUGGUGGAAGUGGAAUGUGUCCCUUUUAAGACAGUCUCUGAGCUGCUGAAAGUGUUGGAUCCAGAGGCAGGCCAAGAAAGCCUCUGUGUAAAUGCAAAUUACCUAGCUGAUGGGGAAAGGAGGAAACUGCCCAUAAGUAGCAGCACAAAGAAUCUGCAAAUAAUGAAUACAUCCGGUCAGCAAACAAGCUACUAGAAGACUCGAUUUAUGGCCCUCCAGGAAAGGGAGGUGAAAAAACAAGUCAAGCCUGAAAAUAAGGGGGACAGGUUAACCCUAAGGGGGGGUGGUGCAUAGAGCAGAAAUCUGAAGCUGUCUCUCAGCUAUUACCUGAGAAUAAACUUAAAGCUUGGUACAGCAAAGAAACUAUGAAAACCUGGUCUGUUGUACAAGAGGGGAAACUGAGGCACACCACCUCAUAAAUGACCAGUGAGUGGGGUAAUUCACUAGCUUGACUAUAGAACAAAAUAAGGACCGCCUGGAGGUAAUUCUUCUGUUUUUCUUGCAAUUAGCAAGGAAAUUUGUAAAAGGAAUUGGUGUUAUUAAGCAAUAAUCUGUCCCCACCAGGGGGGUGGAAAUUGUUUCUUUUGUUUUUCAGACACUCUACAAGCAUGCUGGCGCCAGCAGAAAAAUAACCCCGAAUACCAUGAAUCUAGGUUUUGUGUUUGUCUGUGGUGUUUGUCUUGUUGCUAGCAUGACGUGGGUGGGGGAUGUAUGGGAAUGCAAAAUGCUCAGCUAGGAGGCCAGCACCUGUGGAAUAGCUAUCACGGUACCUGGAAAUAGAACAGCAACUAAGGUGGGCCCCACAAGCCCUAUGGGAAUAACGAGAAGGGGAGGAGCUCCCUGGGAUCAAUGGAGGGGUGUGUAAAAUGGUGUAUGUCUGGAUGUGCCCCUCUCCUAUGACUGGAGGAUCAGGAUCAAUGGCCUAUGGCAAGGGGUGGACAAUUGGGUGCACUGUGUAUGAGGGGUUUUGCUGGAAAUGUACAGAUUACUGGGGGCACAAUUACACCAGCCCAUAGCCAAACUACCCACAUCUACACGCUGCUCUCUGGACUUUGGAGCACAAAUGGAUCUGUAAAUCUUAUUGCUGUAAAUAAUCAAACCGGGGCAUAUUGCCUGAUUCCGUACCAAGUGGUUAAGUUGGUUUGGACAAUAGCCCAUUUCUCUGUGGACAUUCAAUGAACUUAUGAUGUGGCCAAAAGCAUGCCAAACCUGCAGGGGCAGCUUUUUGCAACUGCCAGCAAAUGGACACAUUAAGAUUUUAACCCUGCUGAAGGAGGAGAGGCGGUGGUGGUGUUUUGGUGGUGGCUCGGAUAUUGGACCAUACUGCAGUGGUCAGGACUCGGUGUUGCUGUGAAUUGUGUAGUGUUAACUGUACUUGUGUUACGCUGCAUAUGGAGAUAACCUAUAAGUAAUGUAGUAAGCCCUCUUCACCCCGCAGUGUGCAAAACAACCCAGACCCAACCUUCUCGGGCCCACUCUAAGGGGAGGUCUGGAACACUAACUGGAAUAGGUGUGGUAUGCCCAUAGGGAGAAGGUGCAGGGUACUGUACUACACAAAGGGCACUGGGACAAAUGGAAUAUUGACACCUUCCAGCUUGAUGCCUGGCCCUAUGAGGAAAUGUGUCGCCAUAUGUCCUAUGCUUUUCCAGGGCAGGAGGAUCCCAAAAGAAAAGGGAAAAAACGGGGUUGAGUGUUAGGAUAUAGAUAUUCAGGCCUGUUUGUAAAGGCCUAUACUUUAGGAAUUUACGUGUAUUCUGAUCACUUAGCUAGUUGUAGAGGUAUAAAAGGAAGAAUCAAAAUCACUGUCUGUCUGUGAAAGGGCCUUCUCGUACUGGGACAGUCUGAGGCCUGGUUCUUAAGCUAAGGCCUUCGGCUAAGCAGCAGAGGCCAGCCAUAAACUGGGACGUGUACAGUCACAUCCUCACAUCCUAAACUAGUCACAUGGAAAUAAGGUGCUAUUGGGCUGUUAGGAACACAAUCCUGUCCUGAUAUUCCUAUCACCUCCAGAGAAAGGGAAGAGCCUAGAAGAUGUAAAAGGAAACUUAAGUGAGUUCUUACCAGACAGAAAACUAUCAACCUAUCAAUAGACACAGCUGGGAAACCCUUAUGUCUGUCUAGAUGUAGUUGUGAAAUCCUCACUUCUGUAUUGUUUUGUAUGUUUAUUUGCAUGGUCUCUGUCUGGUUCUGUGAUUGUUUCUGUCUGCUGUAUAAUUAAUUUUGUUGGAUGUAAACCAAUUAAGGUGGUGGGAUAUAAUUGGUUAAAUAACCGUGUUACAGUAUGUUAGGAUUGGUUAGUUAAAUGUCAGUAAAAUGAUUGGUUAAGGUAUAGCUAAGCAGAACUCAAGUUUUACUAAAUAGUCUGCAGUCACUCAGGAAGUAAAGGGGGGGAAUGGGAACAGGGACUGUGGGUGGGGGAAUUGGAAUCAUGUUUUGCUAAGGGGGGAAUGGGAACAGGGAAUGGGAACAGGGAUGGCUCUCUGGUGUCAGAGCUGGUAAGGGGGACACUGAGGAAGGAAACUGGAAUCAUGCUUGCUGGAAGUUCAUCCCAAUAAACAUCGAAUUGUUUGCGCCUUCGGA